rnacentral:rRNA from 1 species
CCUGGCUCCGGAUGAACGCUAGCUACAGGCUUAACACAUGCAAGUCGAGGGGCAGCAUGGUCUUAGCUUGCUAAGGCCGAUGGCGACCGGCGCACGGGUGAGUAACACGUAUCCAACCUGCCGUCUACUCUUGGACAGCCUUCUGAAAGGAAGAUUAAUACAAGAUGGCAUCAUGAGUCCGCAUGUUCACAUGAUUAAAGGUAUUCCGGUAGACGAUGGGGAUGCGUUCCAUUAGAUAGUAGGCGGGGUAACGGCCCACCUAGUCUUCGAUGGAUAGGGGUUCUGAGAGGAAGGUCCCCCACAUUGGAACUGAGACACGGUCCAAACUCCUACGGGAGGCAGCAGUGAGGAAUAUUGGUCAAUGGGCGAGAGCCUGAACCAGCCAAGUAGCGUGAAGGAUGACUGCCCUAUGGGUUGUAAACUUCUUUUAUAAAGGAAUAAAGUCGGGUAUGGAUACCCGUUUGCAUGUACUUUAUGAAUAAGGAUCGGCUAACUCCGUGCCAGCAGCCGCGGUAAUACGGAGGAUCCGAGCGUUAUCCGGAUUUAUUGGGUUUAAAGGGAGCGUAGAUGGAUGUUUAAGUCAGUUGUGAAAGUUUGCGGCUCAACCGUAAAAUUGCAGUUGAUACUGGAUAUCUUGAGUGCAGUUGAGGCAGGCGGAAUUCGUGGUGUAGCGGUGAAAUGCUUAGAUAUCACGAAGAACUCCGAUUGCGAAGGCAGCCUGCUAAGCUGCAACUGACAUUGAGGCUCGAAAGUGUGGGUAUCAAACAGGAUUAGAUACCCUGGUAGUCCACACGGUAAACGAUGAAUACUCGCUGUUUGCGAUAUACUGCAAGCGGCCAAGCGAAAGCGUUAAGUAUUCCACCUGGGGAGUACGCCGGCAACGGUGAAACUCAAAGGAAUUGACGGGGGCCCGCACAAGCGGAGGAACAUGUGGUUUAAUUCGAUGAUACGCGAGGAACCUUACCCGGGCUUAAAUUGCAGAUGAAUUACGGUGAAAGCCGUAAGCCGCAAGGCAUCUGUGAAGGUGCUGCAUGGUUGUCGUCAGCUCGUGCCGUGAGGUGUCGGCUUAAGUGCCAUAACGAGCGCAACCCUUGUUGUCAGUUACUAACAGGUUCCGCUGAGGACUCUGACAAGACUGCCAUCGUAAGAUGUGAGGAAGGUGGGGAUGACGUCAAAUCAGCACGGCCCUUACGUCCGGGGCUACACACGUGUUACAAUGGGGGGUACAGAGGGCCGCUACCACGCGAGUGGAUGCCAAUCCCCAAAACCUCUCUCAGUUCGGACUGGAGUCUGCAACCCGACUCCACGAAGCUGGAUUCGCUAGUAAUCGCGCAUCAGCCACGGCGCGGUGAAUACGUUCCCGGGCCUUGUACACACCGCC